CCUACGGGCGGCAGCAGUAGGGAAUCUUCCACAAUGGGCGCAAGCCUGAUGGAGCAACACCGCGUGAGUGAAGAAGGGUUUCGGCUCGUAAAGCUCUGUUGUUGGAGAAGAACGUGCGUGAGAGUAACUGUUCACGCAGUGACGGUAUCCAACCAGAAAGUCACGGCUAACUACGUGCCAGCAGCCGCGGUAAUACGUAGGUGGCAAGCGUUAUCCGGAUUUAUUGGGCGUAAAGCGAGCGCAGGCGGUUGCUUAGGUCUGAUGUGAAAGCCUUCGGCUUAACCGAAGAAGUGCAUCGGAAAUCGGGCAACUUGAGUGCAGAAGAGGACAGUGGAACUCCAUGUGUAGCGGUGGAAUGCGUAGAUAUAUGGAAGAACACCAGUGGCGAAGGCGGCUGUCUGGUCUGCAACUGACGCUGAGGCUCGAAAGCAUGGGUAGCGAACAGGAUUAGAUACCCGGGUAGUC
rnacentral:rRNA from 1 species